AGUUCGCUGAAGUGUCGAUCCGGUCCAAAAUCUCUCGAUUCGAUUUUACCUUCCAAAUCGAAUCCUCGCGGGGGAAGUGUUGAAAACUGCUAUCAUUCAUUUCAUUUAAGCAAAGAGUGAUCACAAUGUUCCCCAUGUCUAAAUUCAAAUUAAUUUUCCGACGGCAUUAUCUCCUUUACGUGUUUACUUGCACCCACUUAAUUUCGCCAUAUCGAGGUUAAUCCGCAGCCUUGAGAUUUUCAGCCCUGGCAGCCAUUCCAAGCCAGUUCAGCACCAACUAUCACCGCAUGACGACCUCCUCUACACACUUCACUGCCCUGCGUGUACGGAUCGCUCCGUAUCUGUGUAUUUUGAACUUCGCGUAAGGAUGGAGAGCGGCUAGCACUUUCUCGGUCAACCCCGUCAGCGAGAUGGCACUCCGUGGAGACGCUAGCACCCGACGGCGCGCAGGAGGUCGACUACUUCGCCUGCUGACUCGUCUGUGGACUCUAUGAAAGCCUACUGUGGUAGAGGCAUUCACCUCUUGUCAACCGCGUGUGGUGCAGCGGCGGCACUCCAGCAAUCCCGACGCUGUCUGGAAGUUUGCCGCUGCUUCGGGGUGCGAUUGAGGCGACGCAGCUCGAAACCAUUACGAUCAAUAUAAUUAACUUUAGUUCGUU